rnacentral:lncRNA from 10 species
AGGAAUGUCUCCUCCAUGGAGCUUGGGAGAGGGAGAUUGUAGGGGCGGCGGGCAGGUGGAAGGUUUUUUGUGGAAGCACUGUCUGACUUCCAGAAUCUCUGUUUAACUCCCAACUCCCUAUAGGUUCUUCUAUAUUUUCUCUGAAGAAUCCUGGUGGGGACUUUUAUAAGCGGAAUUAGCCAGGAAGAAACAUAUAUACCUAACCCCAGAGACAUAAUAAAGUUCACUUGCAGUGCUUCUGUGAGUGCUGAGAGGAUUUCGCGGCUGCUUCUCAUCCCUGGAGCUUCUCAUCGCCUCCUCUUGUCCUGUUGGUUAGUCGUCUCCUUCUUGGGGUCCUAAUUAAAAAAAAAAAAAACUGGCUUCCACUGGCUUCUGGGAAUUUCUACUCCUCCUUCAGCAAAGCAGGACUUACAACUAUUACCUUCCUAUCCCCAGGGUGUGGAAAGACUACGCUGUGAGGAUGCAUAAGAAUGAUACAGUGGACUCUGGGAACCUGGGGGAGAGGGUGGGAGGUGGGUGAGGGAUGAAAGACUACACACUGGGUACAGUGUACACUGCUUGG